rnacentral:lncRNA from 1 species
UGGAGUAAAGCUAAAAAUAGUUACGACACAAAUUACACAAGUUAAAAUUUGAUGCACCGUCUAUACACGAGAGGUGUUAUGAUCAUAACAUGUCAUUAAAAUAAAGAUAUAAUUAUUUUAUUAGUGUGAUGUCAUAAUCCUAAUACCGUAUAUACAGUGACAUGGGGGUACAUGAAACUUUAAUUCGUUAAACAAUCAUAUAAUCCUAAUUAGCUUUGGAAAGGAAACCAACGUUCAAGUAAAGUAUUCCUGUAAGAGAUCAUGUACAAAAGAAACACAAGCAAAACCCCAACUCCCCAUGGAGACCCUCCAGCUCUAUGUAUAGAAUCUUUUCCCGGCAGCGAUACGAACGGAACGCGAUUCCGGUCAUCAUCGCUGGAUAACCAACGAAUAACAAGGAGAAGAAUCACAGGAGAGACCAUAAGAAUAAGCUUUAAAUUAUACAUUAAGCCCUCAAACAUGGGCUCAUAGUUUAGGUACCAUGUUAGGCCUAAGAAAAGGAAAAGAAUGGCUAAGAUAUAUCGGAGGUAGUCAUAGUAAGAAUAGUUGUUGUAAUAUCUAUCCAUGUUGAAGAAAAUAGGUUUUUUUUCAGUUUGUUAUGUGAUGAAGUUUUGUUUCUGUCUAAAUAGGGAUAGAGAGAAACUGUUAAUGAUCGCUGGUAUGUUUUUGAGGUUCAAAAGUUUUGAAG